ACCGUGAAACUGCGAAUGGCUCAUUAAAUCAGUUAUCGUUUAUUUGAUAGUACCUUCCUACUUGGAUACCUGUGGCAAUUCUAGAGCUAAUACAUGCUACAAACCCCGACUGACGAAGGGGCGUAUUUAUUAGAUAAAAAACCAAUGCCCUUCGGGGCUCCGUGGUGAUUCAUAAUAACUCAACGAAUCGCAUGGCCUUGCGCCGGCGAUGGUUCAUUCAAAUUUCUGCCCUAUCAACUUUCGAUGGUAGGAUAGUGGCCUACCAUGGUUUCUACGGGUAACGGGGAAUUAGGGUUCUAUUCCGGAGAGGGAGCCUGAGAAACGGCUACCACAUCCAAGGAAGGCAGCAGGCGCGCAAAUUACCCAAUCCCGACACGGGGAGGUAGUGACAAUAAAUACUGAUGGAGAGCUCUUUUGGGUUUUCUAGUUGGAAUGAGUACAAUUUAAAUCUCUUAACGAGGAACAAUUGGAGGGCAAGUCUGGUGCCAGCAGCCGCGGUAAUUCCAGCUCCAAUAGCGUAUAUUAAAGUUGUUGCAGUUAAAAAGCUCGUAGUUGAAACUCAGGCCUGGCUGGCCGGUCCGCCUCACCGCGAGCACUGGUUCGGCCGGGCUUUUUCCUUCUGGGGAUCCGCAUGCCCUUCACUGGGUGCGUUGGGGAACCAGGACUUUUACUUUGAAAAAAUUAGAGUGUUCAAAGCAGGCAUAUGCUCGGAUACAUUAGCAUGGAAUAAUGGAAUAGGACGUGUGGUUCUAUUUUGUUGGUUUCUAGGACCGCCGUAAUGAUUAAUAGGGAUAGUCGGGGGCAUCAGUAUUCAAUUGUCAGAGGUGAAAUUCUUGGAUUUAUUGAAGACUAACUACUGCGAAAGCAUUUGCCAAGGAUGUUUUCAUUAAUCAGGAACGAAAGUUAGGGGAUCGAAGACGAUCAGAUACCGUCGUAGUCUUAACCAUAAACUAUGCCGACUAGGGAUCGG
rnacentral:rRNA from 1 species